UCCCCCUCCUUUUAGACGAUUCCCCCAAGCUAUAUCAUAUAUAGAGAUAGUUAAAGUUAUACAAAUUAUUACAAAAUAAUAAUAGAGAUUAAAUAAUAUACAAAACAUAAAAUGAAAUUAAUUCGCCUAUCAUUUCCUUCCCAUGACGACUCUUCAUAUCUUGAAUAAGCUAAAGGAUCAUGUUCAACAUCACAUGGGCAUACAAAUAUAAAUGCAAAAUAUGGAUCCUGUUCAACAUCACAGGGGCAUACAAAUAUAAAUGCGAAAAUACAAAGCCAUUUUUAAAAGGUGAUUAUAGUAUUGAAACAAAUAACCACACACAUACUCGUAUUUUCUAGCAACAAAGUUCAUACAACAAAUAAUAACAAAUAACAGUAUCACAAAAGGGGAGGAAAGGGAACUAACCCAUGUGCUUCCUUUAUUUGUUAUAACCAUUGAAUUUGCAAGAUAGAUAAUACUAAUAAGAAAAGAAAGUUGUAUUGAUCAAAGGAACUAACCAGUCAAGCAAAACAAUUAUUCAACAAACAAACUUCAAUCCGAAUUGAAUUAGAGUAGUCCACCGAAACACAAGAGUUUCUUCAAUAUAUGAACAACUAUUCUUUUCUUUUUGAAGAGUAUUAUAGAGUAUUUUUUGUUCCAAGUAUUAAAAGCAUGAAGGUCAGUCUCAAAUAGGUAGAGUGUAAGGUGUAUAUCAAGUGUUGGAGUGUUCAAGUGAUUGUUCAGAGUAUAAAUCGUGAAUGUCCAGUGUUAGAGUGUUGAGAGUGCUAAGAGUGUGUAAGUUGUUCCAGUCCCAAAUGUGACAAGAGGGCCUUGAUUAUAUACUAAGUGAGAGGGGACAACACUAAUGGAAAAGAAAUAAUUAAGGGGUCAAUUAUAAUAUAUUUUCCUUAGAUAAAAAUAUUACCAAUCAAUGAAAUACUAUACAAUAAUCAGCCACAAUUUUACCAAAAAUAAAGCAAGUAAGAAUCUGUUUUAAUUUAUUUAAAGCAAGCAAAUUAAUGCAAUAUAAAAGCAGGUAAGGAAAGAAUUAUUUACAUAGGUUAAGAAUCAAAUUACAUACCUUCAUAUACCUAUUUCUGGCACCUCUAUCUUUACCUUAUUAAGACAAAAGAUUUAACAGAUUCCGCUUGUAGUUCACAUCUACGACCAUUUGCGGAUUUGGGGAGUUGAAAGCAUCCAUGACUCUGCAAACAAAACAACAAACAACUUCUAAACUCCAUUUUGGCAAAAUUUGAGGGAAGAUGAUUCAAAAUUAUCAUAGGGAACAGUCGGCAUAAUUUAGCAAAUCAACCUAAUCGCUUCUAAAGGGUGUUGGGGACCCUUAGACGAUAGGGUGGCUAAUAAUUAUGUGGAUUGACGUCAAGGGUCAAACCACCUAAGGUUUAUGCAUCAUGUAUGAUCUAAGUAAGAUUUCUAAAUUCAAAAGCAAACUAAAAUCAUAUCAGAAUACAAUGACACAUACUUUCGGAGCUCAGAAAAUCAGCAAGACGUAGUUUACGAGAUCAAAAAUAGCAAGUAAUUCAUUAUCAAACAAAAUCCACCUAAAUAAGCAUGUAUAAGAAUCAUGGCUUCUCCAUAUAUACGAAUUGAGAAUAUAUAAUGGGAAAUUUUAAAAGAAGAGCUAACCUGGACGAAUCCGUUGAGAUCCAUUUUAAACCAACCAAAACAUCGUGGUUUGAGCAAACUCCAUUAUCAUUAUCUCACGCUGCUCAUCUGCUGGAGUUGCUGGCCGAAAAUAGGAAAAUAAAGGAGCAGGGCUCGCCGGAGCUGCUGCCUGGUUGCUACUCUCGCCGGCUGGAGUUUGCUGGUGGCGCCGUCUGGUUGUUGCUGUUGUUGGCUGCUCGCUGGUGGAGAGAAAAGGAGGAAGAGAAG
rnacentral:lncRNA from 1 species